rnacentral:rRNA from 1 species
CACGUAGGGGGCGAGCGUUGUCCGGAUUUAUUGGGCGUAAAGAGCUCGUAGGCGGCUCGGUAAGUCGGGUGUGAAACCUCCAGGCUCAACCUGGAGACGCCACCCGAUACUGCCGUGGCUAGAGUUCGGUAGAGGAGCGUAGAAUUCCUGGUGUAGCGGUGAAAUGCGCAGAUAUCAGGAGGAAUACCAGCGGCGAAGGCGGCGCUCUGGGCCGGUACUGACGCUGAGGAGCGAAAGCGUGGGGAGCAAACAGG